UCUCCCGGCCGGGUCAUGCUUUAAAUUCAUGUAUCAAUGUCUCUUUGUCACAUAAACAUUAAUUAAACAGAGCUCCCAAGAAUGUCAGCUUGUGAUGGAGCUGCUGCUUCUGUGAGGAGCCUAAAAUUUAGUGAAAUAUCAGAGGAGGACACCGUCAGAAUCACUGUGGAUCUUGUAGCUGCUGCAAGGAGGAAUCUUGGGUUCCUAAAAUUUAUUGCAGAAUCUCCCUUUCUUCACCAAACUCCGGCCAUUCUUGAAUCCAUUAGAAGAUAUGAUCAGCUAUGGAUGCCCUUGAUAUAUGAGCUCACAAAUGGAUCCACACCCCCCAUGAUUCUUCCUCCUGUUGAUAUUGAAUGGGUUUGGUUCUGUCACUCCUUAAACCCUGUGAGUUAUAGGCAAUAUUGUGAGUCAAGAUUCUCAAAAGUGAUUGGAAAGGCCACCAUUUUUAAUGAAGAAAAUGAAGAUUAUGCAUUGAAUAGAUGCAGAGAAAUUUGGCUAUGUAGGUACCCAUCUGAGCCUUUUGAGAAUGAAUGUGAUUCAAAAGUGGAAAACCAGGUUUCCUCUAUUCAGGAAGAUCUGCUGGAGGAAGUAUCCAAGCAGAGAUUUUUGUACACUAAAUUUACAGAGCCGUAUUAUUUCGAGAUUGUAUAUCUCAUAGCAGCAAGGCAGCGGUAUAAAGGAUUUUUGUAUAUGGUGCAUAGAUUUGCCGAUAGCUGCUCCAAAUUCGUGCCAACUUCGGAUAUUCUCCUAAUGUGGUUGACCCAUCAGAGCUAUCCGACAGUGUAUGCAUUUGAUACCAAAGAGAUAGAGAAAGAACUAACUAAAGUAGCGGGCACAUGGGAGGUUGCGAAGAAAUUAGAGAUCGAAGAGACCAAGAAACUGUGGGAGAGGACGUUUGAACAACCAUAUGAGAAAGCGGGAGGCACAGCCAUAGGAAAGGAUGUUAUGGUCAAGUCGCCUAUCCAAUGGGAAGUCACGGGCACCGAUGUCAACACAAAAUACAAGUCCAUGCUACCCAGAUUCUUACUAGAGCUAUGUGUAAUGGUGAAACUAAGAACCAAAACCGAAAUUGUGCAAUGGAACAUGUCAAAAGAGUUUUUGCGACUACGAUGUGUAAGAUGCCACAAAGAGCUGAAAAUGGAUACACCCGUAUCCAACUUCACCUCAGACACAUGGCACAAAGCCUGGCAUCUUUACUGUGAAUUUGGAACCAAAGGGGUGAUUCUCGAGCUUCGUAGCCGUGGUGGCCGCUGCAUUAAGGGAAGUAAGCUGACAGAAGGCGCAACAUUUCUUUGGAAUGAUUUAUUACGUGCACCCUCUCUUUCUCUAGUAACGGAGUUGGAUCAGAAAGUGAGGAUAGCUGCCUCAAUCACUCCACCCGUUCAAGCAUCGUACUUGCUGAAAUGUGUCCCUGAUCGGGUUACAGAUGAUUCGGGAGCAAUGAUAUCGGAUGUUAUUUUGAAGCUGAACCACUAUCGACCUCAGGAAGGUCGAUGGUUGUCUCGAACUGUUUUAGACCACGCGGGCAGAGAGUGUUUCAUCAUUCGAUUAAGAAUCGGGGGAGGAAUCUGGAGGAGAGGGGCGGAAACUCCAUCAGCAGUGAAAUGGGAGGACCGGAUUAUAGAAGUACGAGAAGGCUGUUGGUCAUAUGUUGCUGGUUCCAUAGGAAGAGCUCCAGAGAAAAUUGUGGGGACUGCUACACCAAAGGAACCACCAGAAGGAUGCCAUGCUUUAUGGAACUUCUCUACAGGCAAUGAGCUGUUAGUACAACGAGGAUCAUCAAAUCACGGUUCACAUUUUGCUUUUAGUCUAACAAAUCACCAACAUCCAGAUUCAACGCAGGUAAAGUUGGUUGAAGGGCGGAAGAUGGAGUAUGAAGUGAAAGACGGAGAUACAAAGGAAGUAGAGGAUGAAGACGAAGGUGGGUUUUUGACAGUUGUUAGGUUCUCGGAGGACAACCCGACAGGAAAAGCCACCGGGCUUCUGAACUGGAAGCUACUGACGCUAGAGUUUUCGCCCGAAGAAGAUGCAGUGAUGCUACUUCUUCUGUGCAUGUCCAUAGUCAAAAGCGUGACAGAAAUAAACAAGGAAGACAUGGGGAGCCUGCUGAUCAGGAGAAGAAUAAAGGAAGCGAAACUAGGAAACAGAGAUUGGGGCUCGGUCAUUCUCCACCCUUCUUCGUAUUCUCGUUCCCUUUCUUCCCCUCAUGUUCAGCCUUGGUACUGGCACGCCAAGGCCUUGAUGGGGUUGCAAGAACGAGAUAAAGUCCCCAGGCCAACUGCUCCAUUGCUGACAUAUUCCCAGGCAGAAGGAGGCGAUAAUUUGUACAAGCGGGGUAUAAUAAAUUAAAAUGGCAUUCAAGAAUUCUGCAGAUUUGUGAUCACCACCACUUGUAAGAUGAGGCAAGCAAGAGAUGGAAAUAAGUAAAGAUUGCAGCUUCGAGUGCUUGCUUCUAGGACUCUACCCAGGGGAACAUUUCUACAUUUGGGACAUGAUCUUUCUUGGAAAAUUUAUGAAAACUCUCUGAUUGUUUUCAGCAAGUUUUCUGAGAAGAAAACUGUGACCAACUUGAAGCAAACACAACCUCAAGUGGCAGAAUCAGCAGUGUGGUUGGAGGCCACUAGUGGUGUGAGGAAAGGGGGUACGUUUCAGGAUUUGGGUCGGAUACCGCAUACUACUUCCCCGAAGCUAUGAUACACAGGAAAGCAAAUAUCAGGCCAUCAACUUCACAUACAUCUUGCGACUUGGAUUAAGCAAUUAGAGGAGCAAAAUCGAGUGAUGCAACAACAAAAAGAGGAUAUGCAGGAGGAAAAUCGGAGUAUCCGUGAGAUCGUCCAGAAAA